rfam:Kozakia baliensis strain DSM 14400, complete genome.
GGGUGCGUAGCUCAGCGGUAGAGCACUGCCUUCACACGGCAGGGGUCACAGGUUCAAUCCCUGUCGCACCCA